AGAGUUUGAUCAUGGCUCAGGACGAACGCUGGCGGCGUGCCUAAUACAUGCAAGUUGAACGAUGAUUUCUGGUACUUGUAUCAGAAUGAAGAGUAGCGAACGGGUGAGUAACGCGUGGGUAACCUACCUCUUAGCGGGGGACAACUAUUGGAAACGAUAGCUAAUACCGCAUAACAAUAUUAAACACAUGUUUAACAUUUGAAAGUACCAAUUGGUACACUAGGAGAUGGACCCGCGUUGUAUUAGCUAGUUGGUAGUGUAAUGGACUACCAAGGCGAUGAUACAUAGCCGACCUGAGAGGGUGAUCGGCCACAUUGGGACUGAGACACGGCCCAAACUCCUACGGGAGGCAGCAGUAGGGAAUCUUCGGCAAUGGACGAAAGUCUGACCGAGCAACGCCGCGUGAGUGAAGAAGGUUUUCGGAUCGUAAAACUCUGUUGUUAGAGAAGAACGUUGUGUAGAGUGGAAAAUUACACAAGUGACGGUAUCUAACCAGAAAGGGACGGCUAACUACGUGCCAGCAGCCGCGGUAAUACGUAGGUCCCGAGCGUUGUCCGGAUUUAUUGGGCGUAAAGCGAGCGCAGGUGGUUUAAUAAGUCUGAUGUAAAAGGCAGUGGCUCAACCAUUGUGUGCAUUGGAAACUGUUAGACUUGAGUGCAGUAGAGGAGAGUGGAAUUCCAUGUGUAGCGGUGAAAUGCGUAGAUAUAUGGAGGAACACCGGUGGCGAAAGCGGCUCUCUGGACUGUAACUGACACUGAGGCUCGAAAGCGUGGGUAGCAAACAGGAUUAGAUACCCUGGUAGUCCACGCCGUAAACGAUGAGUGCUAGUUGUUUGGGGCUAUCCAGCCCUAAGUGACGCAGCAAACGCAUUAAGCACUCCGCCUGGGGAGUACGACCGCAAGGUUGAAACUCAAAGGAAUUGACGGGGGCCCACACAAGCGGUGGAGCAUGUGGUUUAAUUCGAAGCAACGCGAAGAACCUUACCAGGUCUUGACAUACCAGUGCUAUUCUUAGAGAUAGAGUACUUCGGUACACUGGAUACAGCUGGUGCAUCGUUGUCGUCAGCUCGUGUCGUGCA
rnacentral:rRNA from 1 species